AGGAACGUUGAAGACGACGACGUUGAUAGGCCGGGUGUGUAAGCGCAGCGAUGCGUUGAGCUAACCGGUACUAAUGAACCGUGAGGCUUAACCUU
rfam:Klebsiella sp. RIT-PI-d NODE_1_length_2264346_cov_38.3847_ID_1, whole genome shotgun sequence.